GAUGAACGCUGGCGGUGUGCCUAAUACAUGCAAGUCGAACGAGCUCUUCGGAGCUAGUGGCGGACGGGUGAGUAACACGUUGGUACCUGCCUCGAAGUGGGGAAUAACUGCCCGAAAGGGUGGCUAAUACCGCAUGUGACCGCAAGGUUAAAGCAGUAAUGCGCUUCGAGAGGGGCCUGCGUCCCAUUAGCUUGUUGGUAGGGUAAAAGCCUACCAAGGCGACGAUGGGUAGCUGGAUCGAGAGGUUGACCAGCCACACUGGGACUGAGAUACGGCCCAGACUCCUACGGGAGGCAGCAGUAAGGAAUCUUCCACAAUGGACGAAAGUCUGAUGGAGCAACACCGCGUGCAGGAUGACGGCCUUCGGGUUGUAAACUGCUUUUAUAUGGGAAGAUUAUGACGGUACCAUACGAAUAAGCACCGGCUAACUACGUGCCAGCAGCCGCAGUAA
rnacentral:rRNA from 1 species